UACGUAGGGUGCAAGCGUUGUCCGGAAUUAUUGGGCGUAAAGAGCUCGUAGGCGGUUCGUCGCGUCGGCUGUGAAAACCUGAGGCUCAACCUCAGGCCUGCAGUCGAUACGGGCGGACUUGAGUACUGCAGGGGAGACUGGAAUUCCUGGUGUAGCGGUGAAAUGCGCAGAUAUCAGGAGGAACACCGGUGGCGAAGGCGGGUCUCUGGGCAGUAACUGACGCUGAGGAGCGAAAGCGUGGGGAGCGAACAGGA
rnacentral:rRNA from 1 species